GGUGCGGUAGCUUAUAGGUUAAAGCAUGGGGCUUUUAACCCCAAGAAGUUUAAAUAACCCGCCCCU
rnacentral:tRNA from 1 species